rnacentral:rRNA from 1 species
GUGUUAUACAUGCAAGUCGAGCGCGAGAGUGAGGAGCUUGCUCCUCAUGAUCGAGCGGCGGACGGGUGAGUAACACGUAGGCAACCUACCCUUGAGAUUGGGAUAACUACCGGAAACGGUAGCUAAUACCGGAUACGACUUUUCCACAUAAGUGGAAUUGUUAAAAGGCGGAUUUAUCUGCCGCUCAUGGAUGGGCCUGCGGUGCAUUAGCUAGUUGGUGAGGUAGUGGCUCACCAAGGCGACGAUGCAUAGCCGACCUGAGAGGGUGAUCGGCCACACUGGGACUGAGACACGGCCCAGACUCCUACGGGAGGCAGCAGUAGGGAAUCUUCCGCAAUGGACGCAAGUCUGACGGAGCAACGCCGCGUGAGUGAUGAAGGGUUUCGGCUCGUAAAACUCUGUUGUUAAGGAAGAACACUUGAGGUAGUAACUGGCCUUGAGAUGACGGUACUUAACCAGAAAGCCACGGCUAACUACGUGCCAGCAGCCGCGGUAAUACGUAGGUGGCAAGCGUUAUCCGGAAUUAUUGGGCGUAAAGCGCGCGUAGGCGGUAAAAUAAGUCUGAUGUGAAAGCCCCCGGCUCAACCGGGGAGGGUCAUUGGAAACUGUUUUACUUGAGUACAGAAGAGGAGAGUGGAAUUCCAUGUGUAGCGGUGAAAUGCGCAGAGAUAUGGAGGAACACCAGUGGCGAAGGCGGCUCUCUGGUCUGUAACUGACGCUGAGGUGCGAAAGCGUGGGGAUCAAACAGGAUUAGAUACCCUGGUAGUCCACGCCGUAAACGAUGAGUGCUAGUGUUUGGGGGGGGUUUCCGCCCCUCAGUGCUGCAGCUAACGCAUUAAGCACUCCGCCUGGGGGAGUACGGCCGCAAGGCUGAAACUCAAGGGAAUUGACGGGGACCGCACAAGCGGUGGAACCAUGUGGUUUAAUUCGAAGCAACGCGAAGAACCUUACCAAAUCUUGACAUCCUCUGACAGCCCUAGAGAGAUAGGGUUUCCCUUCGGGGCAGAGUGACAGGUGGGUGCAUGGUUGUCGUCAGCUCGGUCCGGGAAUGGUUGGGUUAAGUCCCGCAACGAGCGCAACCCUUAAGUUUAGUUGCCAUCAUUAAGUUGGGCACUCUAGACGGACUGCCGUGACAACCCGGAGGAAAGGGGGGGGAGAACGUCAAAUAUCUGGCCCCUUUUGAUUUGGGCAACCCCUGGCUCAAAGGGGGAGGUUUAAAGGGGGCGACGCCGCGGGGCAACGAAUCCCAAAAAA